UUAUUUACAUAGGCCAGAUGCUGUGGUGUAAGCACUGAAGUUUUUGCCCUAUUCGGAACAUCAUACUGGAGAUUAUACCAGGCUGAUUCAGACUCCCAAUAUAUUCCAGUGCAGUGUUGUAAAUCACAAACAGAAGUGUAUCCUUAUGGCAGUGAAUACGAUUUCAACUGUACACAUACGUUUUUAAGCGGGUAUUACAAUAAUCAGGGAUGUGAUACAGCAAUACUAAAUAGAUUGGAUUCCUACAGUGUCCCUUUUUUCGUAUUCAUGACACUCUCCGUUUCGGCUCAGAUUGGUAUCAUAGCGACAACUAUAUUCUAUGCAUUUAUUGUGACAAAAAGAGAUAAUGCAGUAGAUGUGAACGUAGAAACUUCUAGUGAAAAUAUCGAAUUAAAGGAACUAAAGGAAAAUGAAGAAUCAUAACAGUACUAGGGAACACAUCUUUAUUUGUGAGA